AGGACGAACGCUGGCGGCGUGCUUAACACAUGCAAGUCGAGGGGGCCCGCAAGGGUCGCCGGCGAACGGGUGCGUAACACGUGAGCAACCUGCCACAGAGUGGGGGAUAGCCGGCCCAACGGCCGGGUAAUACCGCAUACGAUCCUCUCGGGACAUCCCGUAAGGAUGAAAGAUUUAUCGCUCUGGUGAGGGGCUCGCGGCCUAUCAGCUAGUUGGUGCGGUAACGGCGCACCAAGGCGACGACGGUAGC
rnacentral:rRNA from 1 species